rnacentral:lncRNA from 1 species
UUGUAAUAUGUAUAUUUACAUAUGAAAAUGAGAAAUACUAGGUUUUAAUUCUUGUAAAUAUAAUCUCAUUAUAUAAUGAGGUUGUAAAUAUGAUAAUUACAUAUGAAAAUGGGAAAUACUAGGUUAAUUCUUGUAAAUAUAAUCUCAUUAUAUAAUGAGUUGUAAUAUGUUUAUUUACAUAUGAAAUAGAAAGACUAAGUUUAAUCUUGUAAAUAUAAUCUCAUUUAUAUAAUGAGGUUGUCAUAUGCAUAUUAACAUAUGAAAAUGAGAAAUACUAGGUUUUAAUUCUUGUAAAUAUAAUCUCAUUUAUAUAAUGAGGUUGUAAAUAUGUAUAUUAACAUAUGAAAACGAGAAAUACUAGGUUUUAUUUCUUAUAAAUAUAAUCUCAUUUAUAUAAUGAGGUUGUAAAUAUGUAUAUUUACAUAUGAAAAUGAGAAAUACUAGGUUUUAAUUCUUGUAAAUAUAAUCUCAUUUGUAUAAUGAGGUUUUAAAUAUGUAUAUUUACAUAUGAAAAUGAGAAAUACUAGGUUUUAAUUCUUGUAAAUAUAAUCUCAUUUAUAUAAUGAGGUUGUCAUAUGCAUAUUCACAUAUGAAAAUGAGAAAUAGUAGGUUUUAAUUCUUGUAAAUAUAAUCUCAUUUAUAUAAUGAGGUUGUAAAUAUUUAUAUUUACAUAUGAAAAUGAAAAAUACUAGGUUUUAAUUCUUCUAAAUAUAUUCUUGUAAAUAUAAUCUCAUUUAUAUAAUGAGGUUGUCAUAUGCAUAUUAACAUAUGAAAAUGAGAAAGACUAGGUUUUAAUUCUUGUAAAUAUAAUCUCAUUUAUAUAAUGAGGUUGUCAUAUGCAAAUUAACAUAUCAAAAUGAGAAAUACUAGGUUUUAAUUCUUGUAAAUAUAAUCUCAUUUAUAUAAGGAGGUUGUCAUAUGCAUAUUAACAUAUGAAAAUGAGAAAGACUAGGUUUUAAUUCUUGUAAAUAUAUUCCCAUUUAUAUAAUGAGGUUGUAAAUAUGUAUAUUAACAUAUGAAAAUGAGAAAUACUAGGUUUUAAUUCUUGUAAAUAUAAUCUCAUUUAUAUAAUGAGGUUGUCAUAUGCAUAUUAACAUAUGAAAAUAAGAAAGACUAGGUUUUAAUUCUUGUAAAUAAUCUCAUUUAUAUAAUGAGUUUGUCAUAUGCAUAUUAACAUUUGAAAAUGAGAAAAACUAGUUUUAAUUCUUGUAAAUAUAAUCUCAUUUAUAUAAUGAGGUUGUAAUAUGUAUAUUACAUAUGAAAAUGAGAAUACUAGGUUUUAAUUCUUGUAAUAAUAAUCUUUAUAUAAAUGAGGUUGUAAUAGUAUAUUUACAUAUGAAAAUGAGAAACUAGUUUUAAUUCUUGUAAAUAUAAUUCUUAUAUAAAUGAGGUUUUAAAUAUGUAUAUUUACAUAUAAAAUGAGAAAGACUAGGUUUUAAUUCUUGUAAAUAUAAUCUCAUUAAUAUAAUGAGUUGUCAUAUGCAUAUUAAUAUAAAAUGAGAAUACUAGGUUUUAAUUCUUGUAAAUAUAAUUCAUUAUAUAAUGAGGUUGUAAAUAUAUAUUUACAUAUGAAAAUGAGAAAACUAGGUUUUAAUUCUUGUAAAAUAUAUCUCAUUAUAUAAUGAGGUUGUAAUAUGUAUAUUUACAUAUGAAAAUGAGAAAACUAGGUUUUAAUUCUUGUAAAUAUAAUCUCAUUAUAAUGAGGUUGUAAUAUGAUAUUACAUAUGAAAAUGAGAAAUACUAGGUUUUAAUUCUUUGAAAUAUAAUCUCAUUUAUAUAAUGAGGUUUAAUAUGAUAUUACAUAUGAAAAUGAAGAAUACUAGGUUUUAAUUCUAAAUAUAUUCUCAUUUAUAUAAUGAGGUUGAUAUAUAUUAACAUAUGAAAUGAGAAAGACUAGUUUUAAUUCUUGUAAAUAUAUCUCAUUUAUAUAAUGAGGUUGUAUGUAUUAACAUAUGAAAUGAGAAAACUAGGUUUUAAUUCUUGUAAAUAUAAUCUCAUUUAUAUAAUGAGGUUGUAAUAUGUAUAUUACAUAUGAAAUGAGAAGACUAGGUUUUAAUUCUUGUAAAUAUAAUCUCAUUUAUAUAAUGAGUUGUCAUAUGCAUAUUAACAUUGAAAAGAGAAAACUAGUUUUAAUUCUUGUAAAUAUAAUCUCAUUUAUAUAAUGAGGUUGUUAUGAUUUAUUACAUAUGAAAAUGAGAAAUAUAGGUUUUAAUUCUUGUAAAUAUAAUCUCAUUUAUAUAAUGAGGUUGUAUAUGAUAUUACAAUAUGAAAAUGAGAAAACAGGUUUAAUUCUUGUAAAUAAUCUCUUAUAUAAUGAGGUUGUAAUAUGUAUAUUUACAUAUGAAAAUGAGAAACUAGGUUUUAAUUCUUGUAAAUUAAUCUCAUUUAUAUAAUGAGGUAUAUAUAUUACAUAUGAAAAUGAGAAAGACUAGGUUUUAAUUCUUGUAAAUAUAAUCUCAUUUAUAUAAUGAGGUUGUAAUAUGUAUAUUUACAUAUGAAAAUGAGAAAGACUAGGUUUAUUCUUGUAAAUAUAAUCUCAUUAUAUAAUGAGGUUGUAAUAUGCAUAUUAACAUAUGAAAAUGAGAAAGACUAGGUUUUAUUCUUGUAAUAAAUCUCUUUAUAUAAUGAGGUUGUAAUAUGUAUAUUUACAUAUGAAAAUGAGAAAACUAGGUUUUAAUUCUUGUAAAUAUAAUCUCUUAUAUAUGAGGUUGUAAAUAUGUAUAUUAACAUAUGAAAAUGAGAAAUACUAGGUUUAAUUCUUGUAAAUAUAAUCUCAUUAUAUAUAUGAGGUGUAAUAUGUAUAUUUACAUAUGAAAUGAAAACUAUGUUUAAUUCUUGUAAAUAUAAUCUCUUAUAUAAUGGGUUGUAAUAUGUAUAUUAACAUAUGAAAAUGAGAAAUACUAGGUUUAUUCGGUAAAUAUAAUCUCUUAUAUAAUGAGGUUUUAAAUAUGUAUAUUUACAUAUAAAAAUGAGAAAACUAGGUUUAAUUCUUGUAAAUAUAAUCUCAUUUAUAUAAUGAGGUUGUAUAUGAUAUUAACAUAUGAAAAUGAGAAAUACUAGGUUUAAUUCUUGUAAUAUAAUCUCAUUUUAUAAUGAGGUUUAUAGAGUAUAUUACAUAUGAAAAUGAGAAAGAUAGGUUUUAAUUCUUGUAAAUAUAAUCUAUAUUAUAUAAUGAGGUUGUAAAUAUGUAUUAUACAUAUGAAAAUGAGAAAGACUAGGUUUAUUCUUGUAAUAUAAUCUCAUUUAUAUAAUGAGGUUGUAUGUGCAUAUUAACAUAUGAAAAUGAGAAAUACUAGGUUUUAAUUCUUGUAAAUAUAAUCUCAUUAUAUAAUGAGGUUUAAUAUGUAUAUUUACAUAUAAAAUGAGAAAGUAGGUUUAUAAUUCUGUAACAUUAAUCCAUUUAUAUAAUGAGGUUGUAAAUAUGUAUAUUUACAUAUGAAAAUGAGAAAUACUAGGUUUUAAUUCUUGUAAAUAUAAUCUCAUUUAUAUAAUGAGGUUGUAAAUAUGUAUAUUUACAUAUGAAAAAGUGAAAUACUAGGUUUUAAUUCUUGUAAAUAUAAUCUCAUUUAAAUAAUGAGGUUGUAAAUAUGUAUAUUUACAUAUGAAAGUGAGAAAUACUAGGUUUUAAUUCUUGUAAAUAUAAUCUCAUGUAUAUAAUGAGGUUGUCUUAUGCAUAUUAACAUAUGAAAAUGAGAAAUACUUGGUUUUAAUUCUUGUAAAUAUAAUCUCAUGUAUAUAAUGAGGUUGUAAAUAUGUAUAUUUACAUAUGAAAAUG